UACGGAGGGGACUAGCGUUGUUCGGAAUUACUGGGCGUAAAGCGCACGUAGGCGGAUUGUUAAGUCGGGGGUGAAAUCCUGAGGCUCAACCUCAGAACUGCCUUCGAUACUGGCGAUCUUGAGUUCGGAAGAGGUUGGUGGAACAGCUAGUGUAGAGGUGAAAUUCGUAGAUAUUAGCUAGAACACCAGUGGCGAAGGCGGCCAACUGGUCCGACACUGACGCUGAGGUGCGAAAGCGUGGGGAGCAAACAGG
rnacentral:rRNA from 1 species